rnacentral:lncRNA from 1 species
CCUCUGUCCCCCUCAUUUGUUUACAGUUUUUUCACACUGCUCGACACGCAUUUUAAUGCGCAUAUAAAACAUAGUUCUAUAACUUAUUUUUAAAUUUUUUCUUUUUUGUAUAAAAAUUUAAACAUCAAAUUUUUAUACAGAAGAAAAAAAAAUUCAAAAUAAUUUACCGAACUACGUUUUACGAGAGCAUUAGAAUGCGUGCCGAGCCCCCGUCCCCCAAUGUAAACAAAUGAGGGGGACGGAGGGAGUA